GGAAAAUGAAUACAGAGAGAGAGAGAGAGAGAGAGAGAGAGAGAAGACAACACUGACUAGCAGGGGCCCUUCUCUCUCUCUCUCUCUCUCUCUCUCUCUCUCUCUCCCCUUGUACAUCACCAG